rnacentral:snoRNA from 1 species
GUACUAUGAUAGUUGCAUCCUUCAGCAGGUCGAAUCAUCAAGAGAUUUAAUAUUUGUCUGAUGUAUCU